rnacentral:snRNA from 2 species
UUGCUUCUGCAGCACAUAUACUAAAACUGGAAUGAUACAGAGAAGAUUAGCAUAGCCCCUGUGCAAGGAUGACAUGCAAAUUCAUGAAGCAUUCCAUAUUUUU